UACGAAGGGGGCUAGCGUUGCUCGGAAUCACUGGGCGUAAAGCGCACGUAGGCGGAUCGUUAAGUCAGGGGUGAAAUCCUGGAGCUCAACUCCAGAACUGCCUUUGAUACUGGCGACCUUGAGUUCGGGAGAGGUGAGUGGAACUGCGAGUGUAGAGGUGAAAUUCGUAGAUAUUCGCAAGAACACCAGUGGCGAAGGCGGCUCACUGGCCCGAUACUGACGCUGAGGUGCGAAAGCGUGGGGAGCAAAC
rnacentral:rRNA from 1 species